CUCUGACAACAGUGGGAGAGUGGCAGAGAGUCGAGGUCAGUCGCAGAUAUGAUCAAAAAAGGAAAAACAGAGGAAAAGAUCAGAUCUCAGAGCAACAAUGUCCUUUUCUCUUUUUUAAAAGCUUGCUGCUACAUUCUGGCAGCGGAUAGACUAUAAAGGUUUCUCUCAGGGAUAAAUAGAAAUAAAAAGGAAGGACAGAACACAAAUCUACACAUUGAUGGAUCCUAAAAACUAACAAGCAUGGAGGUGCUGAGUGGCCCCUGGGCUGAUCUGGCCCUUUUCCUGCAACAGACUGUCACACUCACAAACAGAGACACAGACAGCUUUCUUCCUCUCUGUCUCUUUGCAUUGCUGCUAUUCCUGUCAGUCUGUCUACUGCUACUGCAACUAAUUAUCUACUUCAGCUGGAAAGUCAGACAAGCUGAGGCCGAUCUGUCCGGGUUUCAGCAGGACCAAAGUGCCAUCCACAGGCAGAGGCACAGAAGCACCAGUCUGACGAGAAGUUUCGGUUAUAGCUGACAGGAAUCACUAAAAUUGAUGGACAAAUUUAAACCUCUAUAUACUACAUAUAGGAUAACAUACUUUUUUGGAACACUGUCCAGUAUAAAUAGGGUGAACAGAUCUUAAAAUGUGUGAGCGACUCUUAUCUGUUGGUACCUCAUAAAAUCCUCAGGACAAUCAUCAUCCACUGAGAACCUGUUGGUUUAAAAAGAACAUCUAACAUAUGAUUAUAAAAAUGAAAAACAGAUGCUGUAAUAUUAUCAGUUUUUUUGUACACUGUACACAUUCAUUUUAACUAGAUAGGUUACACUGUUGCCAGCCUAUGUACAUCAGCUAACUACAUAUAGGUUUUAAUAUCAAUAAAACAAGUGCAUGAAAAAAAGA